rnacentral:rRNA from 1 species
AGUAACGGCGAGUGAAGCGGCAAGAGCUCAAAUUUGAAAUCUGGCUCCCCUUGGGGGGUCCGAGUUGUAAUUUGUAGAGGAUGCUUCGGGUGUGGCCGCCGUCUAAGUUCCUUGGAACAGGACGUCACAGAGGGUGAGAAUCCCGUCUUGGGCGGCCGGUCCGCGCCCGUGUGAAGCUCCUUCGACGAGUCGAGUUGUUUGGGAAUGCAGCUCUAAGCGGGUGGUAAAUUUCAUCUAAAGCUAAAUACUGGCCGGAGACCGAUAGCGCACAAGUAGAGUGAUCGAAAGGUUAAAAGCACCUUGAAAAGGGAGUUAAACAGCACGUGAAAUUGUUGAAAGGGAAGCGCUUGCGGCCAGACUCGGGGGCGGGGUUCAGCGGGCGCUCGUCGCCCGUGCACUCCCCGUCUCCCGGGCCAGCAUCAGUUUCGACGGCCGGUCAAAGGCCCCCGGAAUGUGUCGUCUCUCGGGACGU